UCCGAGAUAUUUGGACAUGUAGAGGCAUAACAACAGGAAAGAGUUUAAAACAAUUUCAACUAUUUAUCUGACAAACACCUGGCCUGUCUAUAUGAGGAGUCAAACGACUGAGUCAAAUUUGCCGGCAGCAUUUUCGCUUAAACUUCUUCGCUUCAUAUUUUCUUUCUUAUAUCAAAAGAAUCGUUAUACAUACAGUUUUAAAAUAGCAAAUUUAUUUACUCUAUUGCCUUAUUUUUUCCUUUGCCCGCCGUUUGUCUUUUAAUGUGUGCACUGGCAGCUGAAACUCUCUAUUAAAAACAUGUGUGCAUGAAGAAUUAAAAGUAUCAUUUCGAAAUAUAAUAUAUAUGUAAUCCCCUGAGUACUGUCUUAUUGAAACACGAGGAAAUGGAAUAUAUACUAAAACUCCAUAGACAUACUAUCGAUACUCAUGUGCACACUAUAUAAUAUAUUUUCUUACCGUUAUUUCUAUAUGCAUGCGUCGUGUUAUCGAGCCGUUCCACUCAUGAUUACAAUUUACGGCAAUUUAUAAUAGACUCGCUGUUGGCGGCUUGGCAAAUGUUCUUUGCUUGUCCUUAAGUAUAUUACAAAUCCUUUCCUAGUUCUUCUUUGCGGUUUUGCCCAAUAUGACACUGACUCCAGUAUGUAGAUCUUGCGUAGCGACGUCGCAAAUGCAAUCCACAAAGAAUACAUAUACAGACAGUAGCGUAGCCAGCCCGACAAUUUAGUCCCGCUACGCAAAUAUCUUCGUGUUCAUUGACUGUGAAAACAAUCCAUUUCUAAAUAAAUGAAUAAUGAUAAUAAAUUUGAAUUUGCAUAGCGGGACUGAAUAGUUUUUUAAAAGUUCUUGCACGGGUCGGGACGCCAUCUUGAAUAUCAGUGAUACCACUGUAACCACAAUGCAAAGCGCUACGAAAACGUAAUAAGGGGAAUCGCGCGGGCUGACUACGCCACUGUAUGCAGACAUCUCACCACAUUAAUUUUGCAACACAAGCUCUUGUUAUUCAUUAAAAUGACAUGCAUUUGUUAAAAUACACACACUCUGAACUUUAUCGAAUUGACAUCGGCAACUAGAUCGGUAAAACAAUCUUAGCCCCUCACCCUUAUGUAAAAAUCUGGGAGACACGUGACCAGCUUGGACCAGGGUCUUUCCUCCAGCGAGGAGCGUAGUGGAAAGAGCCUGGGUACGAGGUUGGUCCCCAAGUAGCUGUACAUAGACUUUCAUAGCUAACUAUACAUCGACAUUUAAAUAAAGUUAAAUACAAGCGGAAAGUACGUGGACUUAGUGGUUAAUUAGUACAUCAUUUCGAACAAAGUUCUAUUACUAGUAUCACUAGUAAGUUUUAAGGGUCAUCCUGUAUUGAUCUAGUACCAGUAUAUACAUGAGGAAAUAGUUUGUGCUCGGAAUAGUCUGUGGUUUUCUUCUAAUUAUUUAUUUACCUAUUUGUUUCUCUGCUUGUUUUUGUCAGUAUUUAGCUUCUUGUUGUGUUUUAUUGUACUGUGAAAUUCUCGUUAAAGUAUGAAAGCCCGAUUGCACAGAGAAAACCUGCCGUUUGUCGCAGUAGAAAAAAAGAGAAAAAAACAAAAAUAAAAAUAAAAAAACGUUCUAAAAUACAUGACACCAGCUGUUGCUUGAUAACUGCACUUUGAAAAAUAGCUCACAAUUGUUUUCAUCUUUUAUUUCUAGGACGAUUGGGAGGAUUGGGAAUGAAAAACGCUGACUUUAUAAAGAUCCCAACACGAUAAAUGAAUGGCCGUAUUUUUGUAUAUAUUUCAAAUUAAGAAUUAUAUGUAUUAGAUUUAGUGUAGUAUAUAUAAAUGUAUAAAUUGGUUUUAAUAUUCGACUAAAUGAACAGGUUUUGGCAUAAAAAUUAUAUUACUGUCCUAGAAAUGUACGAAUGUUUAUCCUAUAAUUGUGUUUAUAACCGGCAUUAAAAACUUAUUUCAAACCAAACGUCUGUACGGAAAUGAGAAACUUUUUUGCCCAACGUGGCUAUAACAUUCUAAACAUUGCCUUUUUGAAGGACUUUCUAUAAUUAUGCCGUUCUAACCGUUAGAAACCCCGCCGUAAUAUUGCCGUAAGAAGCGAAUUUUUUUAUUAUCUCGCCAGAAAGCAGUGCAUAUAUUAUUUUAAACAUUUUACAGUGGGGCCAAAACCAACAUUAUAGGGCCCAGUCUGUGUGGUUCACCAGAGUGAGGUUUUGAUUACUCGGGGUAAGGUUAUGGCCCAAUCUGAGCCAUGCACUGCCUCAUACUCAUGGGUCCUGCGGUGCUAAAUGCCCUCUCUCCAGUAUAUAUGUUACAAUGCCUUGCCAGAAAGCCACUUUAAAAUGAACAAGACACUCGAAAGAGCGUUAACUUGCUGGGGCACUAUUAAGUGAUACACUUGUUAGAUGGUACUACAAUCACAUGGCCAAUUGAAGAGUUAAUUGUGACCUGUUGCAAAAUUGCGGUGUCCGUGCCAAGUUUGGCACCGCUACCAUAGCAGACGCUUUUUUGGGGAGGAGUUUCUGCCUAGAAAAAUUCCUUGCACGUUCUCUGAAUUUCCUUUUUGCGGGAAAAUUAAUUAACCUCGGAGAAAAUUUAUUAAUUAACCUUGUGAGAACUGUACCUUCCCUUCGACCAAUACCUAGUCCUUUGCAAGUCUUUCCCGAAAUGGGUAAAGACCUACCUAAAAUGAUCAUGUUUUUUUUAUUGGCUUUCCGAAACAAAAAUGAUCAUUGUUCGUGACUUAUUCUUUAGAAAGACGAAAUCUAUAGUUUUAUUGUCUUUCAUUGUUAUAAUCAACCCACCACGAGCCUGGAUAUAGUAUAGGUAGAUUAUGACGCCCAGAAACACGUGGCAAUAUCUGUUCCAGGUGAGGGGGACAAAAAUACUGGUGAUACAUAGUAGAUUCGUCCUCCUUACAAAAAGACCGGUGAUACAUAGAAAAAGAUUGGUUAUAUAUGUUAAAAAGACUGGUGAUACAUUUAUACAAAAAAAAAACUGGUAUACGUUAUAAAUGAACGAAUACCGGUGAUACACAGAAAAAGACCAGUGUUACAUAAAAAAAAUACCACUGAUACAUAGAAAAAGAAUGGUGAUACACAGAAAAAGACCGGUGUUAUAUACCUAAAUACUAAAACUGUUUGUACCAGUGUGGGUAGUACCAAUGUGAAAAUGCUGUGCUGCAGAGUGGUUAUAUUACUACCUUAAAAAAAAAAACAAGCAGAAACUCAACGUUUCGAGCGAAGGCCCUUCGUCAAGAUUCGCCAUUAUUACAUACAGAUAUACCGGUGAUACACAGAAAAAAAGAUUUAAAAAAAAACAAUUAAAAAAAUAAUACCGGUGAUACAUUGUAAAAGACCAGUGAUACGUUAUAACCAGGAGCGUAGGAAGCUUCUAAACGUUUUGGGGGGCCAGGCUUUAAGGGGCACUUUUCGAAUAAAAAAGGGGAUCUAGAAAUUUUUCCCCGGAAAUGUUGCCACGGGGGGGGGGGGGAUUUCAUCUCAACAAAAAUUUUUCGGACAAAAAAUUUUCCGGAUAUAGCUACCACAUUUUUUCGUAAAUAUGAAAAAAAAUUUCCGGAUAUACCCAAAAAUUUUCCGGAUAUAUGAUAUUUUUCCCGGAAUUGAAAAAAUUUUUCCGAAAAUAACAUAGAUCCAAGUUUUCAAAAGUACCCCUUGGGCAAAAAAUGCAAUCUUAAUGACAUUUUCCACGCAAGAAAGUGGCACUUUGCUUCCGGAAAAAGGGCACUUGGCAAAACUUGGGGGCCUGGCCCUCCCUGCCCCCCCCCGGUUCCUACGCCCCUGGUUAUAACAGAG